rnacentral:rRNA from 1 species
GCCCACCAAGGCUACGAUGGGUAGGGGUUCUGAGAGGAAAGCCCCCCACACUGGUACUGAGACACGGACCAGACUCCUACGGGAGGCAGCAGUAAGGAAUAUUGGGCAAUGGUCGAAAGACUGACCCAGCCAUGCCGCGUGCAGGAUGAAGGCCCUAUGGGUUGUAAACUACUUUUAGCCGGGAAUAAACACCCGUUUUAUAACGGGCCCGAAGGUACCGGCUGAAUAAGCAUCGGCUAACUCCGUGCCAGCAGCCGCGGUAAUACGGAGGAUGCAAGCGUUAUCCGGAUUCACUGGGUUUAAAGGGUGCGCAGGCGGACAUUUAAGUCAGGGGUGAAAUCCUACAGCUUAACUGUAGAACUGCCCUUGAUACUGAAUGCCUAGAGUAAAGCUGAAGUGGGCGGAAUGUGUUGUGUAGCGGUGAAAUGCUUAGAUAUAACACAGAACACCAAUCGCGAAGGCAGCUCACUAAACUUUAACUGACGCUCAUGCACGAAAGCGUGGGGAGCAAACAGGAUUAGAUACCCUGGUAGUCCACGCCCUAAACGAUGAUCACUCGCUGUUGGCGAUAUAUUGUCAGUGGCUAAGCAAAAGU